rnacentral:rRNA from 1 species
UACGUAGGGUGCAAGCGUUGUCCGGAAUUAUUGGGCGUAAAGAGCUCGUAGGCGGUUUGUCGCGUCGAAUGUGAAAACCCGGGGCUCAACCCCGGGCCUGCAUUCGAUACGGGCAGACUAGAGUUCGGUAGGGGAGUCUGGAAUUCCUGGUGUAGCGGUGAAAUGCGCAGAUAUCGGGAAGAACACCCGUGGCGAAGGCGGCUCUCUGGGACGGUACUGACGCUGAGACGCGAAAGCGUGGGGAGCGAACAGG